AUUGAACGCUGGCGGCAGGCCUAACACAUGCAAGUCGAGCGGAGCGGCGGAAGGGUGAGUAAUGCCAGGGAAUCGGCCUGGUAGUGGGGGAUAACGUCCGGAAACGGGAGCUAAUACAGCAAACUAUAAGAUGAGGCUCGGGCGGGUUAGCUAGUUGGUGGGGUAAAGGCCUACCAAGGCGACGAUCAGUAAAUGGUCUGAGAGGAUGAUGAGUUACCUUGUAACUGAGACACGGUCCCGACUCCUACGGGAGGCAGCAGUGGGGAAUAUUGGACAAUGGGCGCAAGCCUGAUCCAGCCAUGCCGCGUGUAUGAAGAAGGUCUUCGGAUUGUAAAGCACUUUAAGUUGGGAGGCGUUACCAACAGAAUAAGCACCGGCUAACUUCGUGCCAGCAGCCGCGGUAAUUC
rnacentral:rRNA from 1 species